GAUGAACGCUAGCGGCAGGCCUAAUACAUGCAAGUCGAACGGGAUCCAGAUCAAAGCUUGCUUUGGUUUGGUGAGAGUGGCGCACGGGUGCGUAACGCGUGAGCAACCUACCCUUGUCAGGGGGAUAGCCCGGCGAAAGUCGGAUUAAUACCGCAUGACAUCAUUGAGAGGCAUCUUUCGAUGAUCAAAGAUUUAUCGGACAAGGAUGGGCUCGCGUGACAUUAGCUAGUUGGUAAGGUAACGGCUUACCAAGGCUACGAUGUCUAGGGGCUCUGAGAGGAGAAUCCCCCACACGGGUACUGAGACACGGACCAGACUCCUACGGGAGGCAGCAGUAAGGAAUAUUGGUCAAUGGACGGAAGUCUGAACCAGCCAUGCCGCGUGCAGGAAGACGGCCCUAUGGGUUGUAAACUGCUUUUAUACGGGAACAAACGUCGGUACGUGUACCGGUCUGAGUGUACCGUAAGAAUAAGGAUCGGCUAACUCCGUG
rnacentral:rRNA from 1 species